rnacentral:lncRNA from 1 species
ACCGGAUAUUCUUCAACUGGUGCCAUUUAGAUGUUGUUGGACUACAGUUCCCACAAGCCCCAGCAAGCAUAACCAAUUAUCUGAGAUUUUGAACUUGUAGUCCAACAACAUCUGGAGACCACCAGGUUGGGGGAGGCCGGAUCACAAGAGGACAGCAGAGUAGUAAGUGAUGUAGUGGAUGGCAGCCAAAGAAAAUAGCUGGCCAAUGGAGUUGCCCAAGGAAUAAAAGUACCAAAUCAGAGCAGGCACUAAGCAGUCAAUGGAACCCCUAAUAUAAGCACUAGCUAGAGCUCCAUAGUCCUGCAGUUAGUUCUGAUUGGCCCCCAGCAGGCCCCAGAUAUAGUGGGAAUGUGAUAGGGUACACCACCUAGGGGGUAAUUUUUACACAAAGAUAUGCCUAUACCAUUUAAAUGUUCCUGAACACUAAGGAGAAGUUGUAGAUGAGAAAAAUGUAUUAUUUUGAAAACAAGUCAUGGAAAACAAGUCAUGUUCAGAGCUGACCUAGUGAAAUUAAUGGAAAUGACCAUUAAUACUGGACCAUUACUUUCAGUGUGUCUACUCUGAAUAGAAGUUGGUGAGAAACAACUCAUAAAGCGGAAGAAAGGAGUGAGGCAACAGGAAUAAUAUUACUUGGGCCUGAUAACUGAAAUACUUGGUUUUGGGGGUGGAUGUAAAUCAGGCCUGGGUGUGGUAGGUUGUGUCUCUGUGUUAACAUAUCUCAAUAUCAUGGCUGGGGAGAGCGCAGAGUUACAUACAGUGGUACCUCGGGUUAAGUACUUAAUUCGUUCUGGAGGUCCGUUCUUAACCUGAAACUGUUCUUAACCUGAAGCACCACUUUAGCUAAUGGGGCCUCCUGCUGCUGCCGCGCCGCCAGAGCACGAUUUCUGUUCUCAUCCUGAAGCAAAGUUCUUAACCUGAAGCACUAUUUCUGGGUUAGCGGAGUCUGUAACCUGAAGUGUAUGUAACCUGAAGUGUAUGUAACCCGAGGUACCACUGUAUUCAAUAACCAUUGAACACAGCAUGUUACUGUACUAGAGAAACAUGCUUCCCUCUUACAUUUGAACAGAACCAAUAACUGAGACACAGGAAGCUGUUACUAUUAUCGAGUACAUAAAAUUUCAGCAUUUGCUUUUUUAAAAUCCCCUCCCCGGAGCUUCUAUACCAACUCUUCUUUUCUGAGCAGCUGAUUUCUUAUGCUUUUCUCUACUCCUCUCCCAAAGUAAUAAUUUUCUAAGGAAGAUUGCCAACAUACAUAUUUUUCUUUUAAACAGCAUUGAAGUCUCAGCUAAAAUUAAGACGCUCAGCUUCACGUCUACUAAUUCCCCAUCACGACUGCCACCAAAGGACAUUAGAGGGGGAAAUGAAUUGACCUACUUCAUAUGAAGGCUGUGCACUCACUGUGGCUUUUCAACAUGGUUGGAUAAACUUUGAAGUCUCCCUGAAAUAUACCACUACCACUGACUCACAUCUGACCUUCAGACCUAUCCAACACACCGUUCAUAAUUUCAGCAGAUGGUUAUAGCCUUCAUGCACACAUAUGAACUAUAUAAAGUCAUUUCUCCUCUCGUAAUAUAAGAAAUGGAGAUACGUUACAGUUAUUGGAAAACAUUCUCUUCAACUUGGCAUGAUAGUCCAAAGCAUUCUUACAGACAAUGAAGAUUAUGAUCGUAUUCCUAGCCUAUAUAAUUGCAAGCUCUAAAUCAUACCUAAUCUGACAAAAAUAUAUCAAUGUUGCUUGUAAACCUCC